AUUGAACGCUGGCGGCAGGCUUAACACAUGCAAGUCGAACGGAACCUUCGGGUUUAGUGGCGAACGGGUGAGUAAUACCUAGGAAUCUGCCUAUUAGUGGGGGAUAACGGCUCGAAAGGGUCGCUAAUACCGCAUACGUCCUACGGGAGAAAGAGGGGGAUCUUCGGACCUCUUGCUAAUAGAUGAGCCUAGGCCGGAUUAGCUAGUUGGUAGGGUAAAGGCCUACCAAGGCGACGAUCCGUAGCUGGUCUGAGAGGAUGAUCAGCCACACUGGAACUGAGACACGGUCCAGACUCCUACGGGAGGCAGCAGUGGGGAAUAUUGGACAAUGGGGGGCAACCCUGAUCCAGCCAUGCCGCGUGCAGGAUGAAGGCCCUCGGGUUGUAAACUGCUUUUGUACAGAACGAAAAAGACUCCGGCUAAUACCUGGAGUCCAUGACGGUACUGUAAGAAUAAGCACCGGCUAACUACGUGCCAGCGACGCCGACGUA
rnacentral:rRNA from 1 species